rnacentral:rRNA from 1 species
GAUGAACGCUGGCGGCGUGCCUAAUACAUGCAAGUCGAGCGAACAGACGAGGAGCUUGCUCCUCUGACGUUAGCGGCGGACGGGUGAGUAACACGUGGAUAAUCUACUUAUCAGACUGGGAUAACUUCGGGAAACCGGAGCUAAUACCGGAUAAUAUAUUGAACCGCAUGGUUCAAUAGUGAAAGACGGUUUUGCUGUCACUUAUAGAUGGAUCCGCGCCGCAUUAGCUAGUUGGUAAGGUAACGGCUUACCACGGCAACGAUGCGUAGCCGACCUGAGAGGGUGGUCGGCCACACGGGAACUGAGACGCGGUCCAGGCUCCUACGGGAGGCAGCAGUAGGGAAUCUUCCGCAAUGGGCGAAAGCCUGACGGAGCAGCGCCGCGUGAGAGGUGAAGGUCUUGGGAUCGUAAAACUCUGUUAUUGGGGAAGAACAAAUGUGUAAGUAACUGUACACGUCUUGACGGUACCGAAUCAGAAAGCCACGGCUAACUACGUG